rnacentral:rRNA from 1 species
UAAGGAAUAUUGGACAAUGGUCGCAAGACUGAUCCAGCCAUGCCGCGUGCAGGAAGACGGCCCUAUGGAUUGUAAACUGCUUUUGUACCAGAGAAAACCUAUCUACGUGUAGAUAGCUGAUAGUAUGGUAAGAAUAAGCAUCGACUAACUUCGUGCCAGCAACCGCGAUAAGACGAAGGAUGCAAGCGUUAUCCGGAUUCAUUGGGUUUAAAAAAUGCGUAGGCGGGCUUGUAAGUCAAUAAUGAAAUCUCUCAGCUUAACUGAGAAACUGCCAUUGAUACUGCAGGCCUAGAGUAUAGAUGACAUUAGCGGAAUAUGACAUGUAGUGGUGAAAUACUUAGAUAUGUCAUAGAACACCGAUUGCAAAAGCAGCUAACGAAACUAUAACUGACGCUGAGGCACGAAAGUGCGGGGAUCAAACA